rnacentral:rRNA from 1 species
UUAAGUUAAUAAGGGCGCACGGUGGAUGCCUUGGCACUAGGAGCCGACGAAGGACGUGACAAACGACGAUAUGCCUUGGGUAGCUGUAAGUAAGCGAUGAUCCAGGGAUUUCCGAAUGGGGGAACCCAACAGGUAAUACCUGUUACCUACAUCUGUUAAGGAUGUGAGGAGGAAGACGCAGUGAACUGAAACAUCUAAGUAGCUGCAGGAAGAGAAAGCAAAAGCGAUUGCCUUAGUAGCGGCGAGCGAAACGGCAGAAGGGCAAACCGAAGAGUUUACUCUUCGGGGUUGUAGGACUGCAAUGUGGACUCAAAGAUUAUAGAAGAAUGAUUUGGGAAGAUCAGCCAAAGAGAGUAAUAGCCUCGUAUUUAAAAUAGUCUUUGUACUUAGCAGUAUCCUGAGUACGGCGGGACACGUGAAAUCCCGUCGGAAUCUGGGAGGACCAUCUCCCAACCCUAAAUACUCCCUAGUGACCGAUAGUGAACCAGUACCGUGAGGGAAAGGUGAAAAGCACCCCGGGAGGGGAGUGAAAUAGAACCUGAAACCGUGUGCCUACAACAAGUUCGAGCCCGUUAAUGGGUGAGAGCGUGCCUUUUGUAGAAUGAACCGGCGAGUUACGUUAUGAUGCGAGGUUAAGUUGAAGAGACGGAGCCGUAGGGAAACCGAGUCUGAAUAGGGCGCCUUAGUAUCAUGACGUAGACCCGAAACCAUGUGACCUACCCAUGAGCAGGUUGAAGGUGCGGUAAGACGCACUGGAGGACCGAACCAGGGCACGUUGAAAAGUGCUUGGAUGACUUGUGGGUAGCGGAGAAAUUCCAAACGAACUUGGAGAUAGCUGGUUCUCUCCGAAAUAGCUUUAGGGCUAGCGUCGACAUUAGAGAUUCUUGGAGGUAGAGCACUGUUUGGGUGAGGGGUCCAUCCCGGAUUACCAAUCUCAGAUAAACUCCGAAUGCCAAUGAAUUAUGGUCGGCAGUCAGACUGCGAGUGCUAAGAUCCGUAGUCGAAAGGGAAACAGCCCAGACCACCAGCUAAGGUCCCAAAAUAAUUGUUAAGUGGAAAAGGAUGUGGGGUUGCACAGACAACUAGGAUGUUAGCUUAGAAGCAGCUAUUCAUUCAAAGAGUGCGUAAUAGCUCACUAGUCGAGUGACCCUGCGCCGAAAAUGUACCGGGGCUAAAACAAUUUACCGAAGCUGUGGAUACCUUUAUAGGUAUGGUAGGAGAGCGUUCUAUGUGUGAUGAAGGUAUACCGUGAGGAGUGCUGGAACGCAUAGAAGUGAGAAUGCCGGUAUGAGUAGCGAAAGACAGGUGAGAAUCCUGUCCACCGUAAGACUAAGGUUUCCAGGGGAAGGCUCGUCCGCCCUGGGUUAGUCGGGACCUAAGGAGAGACCGAAAGGUGUAUCCGAUGGACAACAGGUUGAUAUUCCUGUACUAGAGUAUGUAGUGAUGGAGGGACGCAGUAGGCUAACUAAAGCAGACGAUUGGAAGAGUCUGUCUAAGCAGUGAGGUGUGAAUUGAGUCAAAUGCUUAAUUCUAUAACAUUGAGCUGUGAUGGGGAGCGAAGUUUAGUAGCGAAGUUAGUGACGUCACACUGCCAAGAAAAGCUUCUAGCGUUUAAACAUACUCUACCCGUACCGCAAACCGACACAGGUAGUCGAGGCGAGUAGCCUCAGGUGAGCGAGAGAACUCUCGUUAAGGAACUCGGCAAAAUGACCCCGUAACUUCGGGAGAAGGGGUGCUGACUUAAAGUCAGCCGCAGUGAAUAGGCCCAAGCAACUGUUUAUCAAAAACACAGCUCUCUGCUAAAUCGUAAGAUGAUGUAUAGGGGGUGACGCCUGCCCGGUGCUGGAAGGUUAAGAGGAGUGCUUAGCGUAAGCGAAGGUAUGAAUUGAAGCCCCAGUAAACGGCGGCCGUAACUAUAACGGUCCUAAGGUAGCGAAAUUCCUUGUCGGGUAAGUUCCGACCCGCACGAAAGGCGUAAUGAUUUGGGCACUGUCUCAACGAGAGACUCGGUGAAAUUUUAGUACCUGUGAAGAUGCAGGUUACCCGCGACAGGACGGAAAGACCCCAUGGAGCUUUACUGCAGUUUGAUAUUGAGUGUCUGUACCACAUGUACAGGAUAGGUAGGAGUCUAAGAGAUCGGGACGCCAGUUUCGAAGGAGACGCUGUUGGGAUACUACCCUUGUGUUAUGGCCACUCUAACCCAGAUAGGUGAUCCCUAUCGGAGACAGUGUCUGACGGGCAGUUUGACUGGGGCGGUCGCCUCCUAAAAGGUAACGGAGGCGCCCAAAGGUUCCCUCAGAAUGGUUGGAAAUCAUUCGCAGAGUGUAAAGGUAUAAGGGAGCUUGACUGCGAGAGCUACAACUCGAGCAGGGACGAAAGUCGGGCUUAGUGAUCCGGUGGUUCCGUAUGGAAGGGCCAUCGCUCAACGGAUAAAAGCUACCCUGGGGAUAACAGGCUUAUCUCCCCCAAGAGUUCACAUCGACGGGGAGGUUUGGCACCUCGAUGUCGGCUCGUCGCAUCCUGGGGCUGUAGUCGGUCCCAAGGG